GAUGAACGCUGGCGGCGUGCCUAAUACAUGCAAGUCGAGCGAACAGACGAGGAGCUUGCUCCUUUGACGUUAGCGGCGGACGGGUGAGUAACACGUGGGUAACCUACCUAUAAGACUGGGAUAACUUCGGGAAACCGGAGCUAAUACCGGAUAAUAUUUCGAACCGCAUGGUUCGAUAGUGAAAGAUGGCUUUGCUAUCACUUAUAGAUGGACCUGCGCCGUAUUAGCUAGUUGGUAAGGUAACGGCUUACCAAGGCAACGAUACGUAGCCGACCUGAGAGGGUGAUCGGCCACACUGGAACUGAGACACGGUCCAGACUCCUACGGGAGGCAGCAGUAGGGAAUCUUCCGCAAUGGGCGAAAGCCUGACGGAGCAACGCCGCGUGAGUGAUGAAGGUCUUCGGAUCGUAAAACUCUGUUAUUAGGGAAGAACAAACGCGUAAGUAACUGUGCACGUCUUGACGGUACCUAAUCAGAAAGCCACGGCUAACUACGUGCCAGCAGCCGCGGUAAUACGUAGGUGGCAAGCGUUAUCCGGAAUUAUUGGGCGUAAAGCGCGCGUAGGCGGUUUUUUAAGUCUGAUGUGAAAGCCCACGGCUCAACCGUGGAGGGUCAUUGGAAACUGGAAAACUUGAGUGCAGAAGAGGAAAGUGGAAUUCCAUGUGUAGCGGUGAAAUGCGCAGAGAUAUGGAGGAACACCAGUGGCGAAGGCGACUUUCUGGUCUGUAACUGACGCUGAUGUGCGAAAGCGUGGGGAUCAAACAGGAUUAGAUACCCUGGUAGUCCACGCCGUAAACGAUGAGUGCUAAGUGUUAGGGGGUUUCCGCCCCUUAGUGCUGCAGCUAACGCAUUAAGCACUCCGCCUGGGGAGUACGACCACAAGGUUGAAACUCAAAGGAAUUGACGGGGACCCGCACAAGCGGUGGAGCAUGUGGUUUAACUCGAAGCAACGCGAAGAACCUUACCAAAUCUUGACAUCCUUUGACCCUUCUAGAGAUAGAAGUUUCCCCUUCGGGGGACAAAGUGACAGGUGGUGCAUGGUUGUCGUCAGCUCGUGUCGUGAGAUGUUGGGUUAAGUCCCGCAACGAGCGCAACCCUUAAGCUUAGUUGCCAUCAUUAAGUUGGGCACUCUAAGUUGACUGCCGGUGACAAACCGGAGGAAGGUGGGGAUGACGUCAAAUCAUCAUGCCCCUUAUGAUUUGGGCUACACACGUGCUACAAUGGACAAUACAAAGGGCAGCGAAACCGCGAGGUCAAGCAAAUCCCAUAAAGUUGUUCUCAGUUCGGAUUGUAGUCUGCAACUCGACUACAUGAAGCAGGAAUCGCUAGUAAUCGUAGAUCAGCAUGCUACGGUGAAUACGUUCCCGGGUCU
rnacentral:rRNA from 1 species